rnacentral:lncRNA from 1 species
GCUGCCUAUGAGGUGGACAUUUUGAUAGGAAGAAGGGAUUGGCACGAAUCCCACCACACACAGUGCUUCAAGCUCAGAGAUGUCAGCGUUGGGCAGCACAUGGAAGGGGGACCACAGAAAUGCAGCAAAACCCAGAAAGGAUUUAUGGGGCGGGAAGAACCCUGAAGAUGGCUUAGCCUUUCCAGUGUCUUUCCAGAAACUCAAAAUCAUUCUGUUUGUGAGAAAUCAACGAAGAAUGGCAGGAAUAAUGGGAGCGUGUUCUCUUCUUGAUCAUGUCUCAACUAUUCUUGAAAAGACAAGCACCAACACCUUCCAGAAAUCCUGAGAAAUCACCAGGCAACCAUCCAAGACACAGACGGCAGCAGAGGCCAACUUAACCAUCCACACAGAAUGAAUCUAAAUAUCACAUGAAACUUUCUCUGCAAAUUAAGCGUUCUGAGAAGUCAAGCAACCACUGUCUUCUCCUUUCAUCUUCCGUUUCCUGAUCUUACCAGUGCAUCGGGUCAGGUGGUCAUAUAUGCUUAGCAGAACUGCAGGACACUGGACAUACUAUGGAGGCCUCAGCCUCUUUCUCUCCUGCUCCCUUGCUGUGGAGUAACUUCAUCCAUCACGCUGUCCUAGUGGCUUCUUCAGAUUAUCAAAGUUCCAAUAAUCGUCUCUAGGGGACAUGUCUCUAAAUGCCAUUCAGAAGUUUUAGCAUAAUUUUUAGUUGAUUCUCCCGAAUUUCCGAACACCAUGCACCCCAAACCCACUCAUUUCCCAGUCCUCCCAUAUCCUCCCUCCACCCUUGUAACCCCCAAAA